rnacentral:rRNA from 1 species
AACUGCGACAUAAUUACUCUGAAUGUGCCCCAUCAUUCCAGAUCCUGGAAUCUAAGCAGAUUGAGCUUGGUUAGUAUGGGAGACUGACUGGGAAUACCAGAUGUGUGUAGGUU